UACGUAGGGCGCAAGCGUUAUCCGGAAUUAUUGGGCGUAAAGAGCUCGUAGGCGGUUUGUCGCGUCUGCCGUGAAAGUCCGGGGCUCAACUCCGGAUCUGCGGUGGGUACGGGCAGACUAGAGUGAUGUAGGGGAGACUGGAAUUCCUGGUGUAGCGGUGAAAUGCGCAGCUAUCAGGAGGAACACCGGUGGCGAAGGCGGUUCUCUGGGCCUUACCUGACACUGAGGAGCGAAAGCGUGGGGAGCGAACGGG
rnacentral:rRNA from 1 species